rnacentral:lncRNA from 1 species
GUCAGUGUGCUGCGACCACUAUCCAGUCCACAUACAGUCUGCUUUAAUUAAACUCAACGAGAAAGUAAAUCGCUGCAGUGACUGAAGAAGACCAGUCAAGCACAUGGAUAGAAUGACCAAAGAUAAUCACGACACCUUCCGCUGUACGUGUGGUCGCGGAUGCGUUUUGUCUCUGGUGCCGCAUUCUGCAACAGGACGCGCAAACUAUGGAGGGUCAUUCAUCCCUUACUUGGUACCGCAGUAUACGAGUAGACCACUCCUGCGGACACUAGAGUCUGCGCGUGAAGAGGUCG